AUGCACUAAAUUAACAUUUGGAGGUAAACUGGCAGCAUGACUAACUUGGCCAAGCUGUCGGUCACCUUCAGACAAGU
rnacentral:snoRNA from 1 species